rnacentral:rRNA from 1 species
CUCGUAGGCGGCCUGCCAAGUCCCACGUGAAAGACCAGGGCUCAACCCUGGGGACGCGAGGGAAACUGGUAAGCUGGAAUCUUGGAGGGGGUACUGGAAUUCCUGGUGUAGGGGUGAAAUCUGUUGAUAUCAGGAAGAACACCGGAGGCGAAGGCGAGUACCUGGCCAAAGAUUGACGCUGAUGAGCGAAAGCGUAGGGAGCGAACA